rnacentral:rRNA from 1 species
UGCGAUAAGUAAUGUGAAUUGCAGAAUUCAGUGAAUCAUCGAAUCUUUGAACGCACCUUGCGCCCUUUGGCUAUUCUGAAGGGCAUGCCUGUUUGAGUAUCAUGAACACCUCAACUCUCGUGGUCCGCCGCGAUGAGCUUGGACUUUGGGGGUCUUGCCGGCCUAGUGUCGGCUCCUCUCAAAUGGAUCAGCCUGCCAGUGUUUGGUGGCAUCACGGGUGUGAUAACUAUCUACGCUUGUGGUUUUCCACCACGUAACCUUCAGCGAUGGAGGUUCGCUGGGGCUCACAGAUGUCUCUCCUCGGCGAGGACGGCUUUUGAACGUUUGAUCUCAAAUCAGGUAGGACUACCCGCUGAACUUAAGCAUAUCAAUAAGCGGAGGAA